rnacentral:rRNA from 1 species
CGCCAGACUCCUACGGGAGGCAGCAGUGGGGAAUAUUGCACAAUGGGGGAAACCCUGAUGCAGCGACGCCGCGUGAGCGAUGAAGUAUUUCGGUAUGUAAAGCUCUAUCAGCAGGGAAGAAAAUGACGGUACCUGACUAAGAAGCCCCGGCUAACUACGUGCCAGCAGCCGCGGUAAUACGUAGGGGGCAAGCGUUAUCCGGAUUUACUGGGUGUAAAGGGAGCGUAGACGGCUGUGCAAGCCAGAUGCGAAAGCCCGGGGCUCAACCCCGGGACUGCAUUUGGAACUGUGUGGCUGGAGUGUCGGAGAGGCAGGCGGAAUUCCUAGUGUAGCGGUGAAAUGCGUAGAUAUUAGGAGGAACACCAGUGGCGAAGGCGGCCUGCUGGACGAUGACUGACGUUGAGGCUCGAAAGCGUGGGGAGCAAACAGGAUUAGAUACCCCGGUAA